UCAGACGAUGCGUCAUGCAUAUCAAUAAGCGGAGGAAAAGAAACUAACAAGGAUUCCCUUAGUAACGGCGAGUGAAGCGGGAAGAGCUCAAAUUUGAAAUCUUCAAGGUUUGACCUUGACGAAUUGUAGUUUAAAGAAGUGUUUUCGGUUAGAGAGUUUGGUAAAAGUUCUUUGGAAUAGGACAUCAUAGAGGGUGAGAAUCCCGUAUUUGACCAUUAUUUUCUAGCUUUGUGAUACACUUUCAAAGAGUCGGAUUGUUUGGGAAUGCAGUCCAAAAUGGGUGGUAAAUUUCAUCUAAAGCUAAAUAUUGGCGAGAGACCGAUAGCGAACAAGUACCGUGAGGGAAAGAUGAAAAGAACUUUGAAAAGAGAGUUAAACAGUACGUGAAAUUGUCAAAAGGGAAGCGUUUGACACCAGUGUUGUUUUCUCGAAAAUCAAUUAAAAAGAGUUGGAUUUUGUGUUGUAUUGACCUUAACAGCUUGCUUCACUCUUUUCCUGCUUUUUUUAAUGCACUUUUCGUUUAACAAGUCAACAUCAGUUUCUUUUGUUGUAAAAGGGUCAUUGGAAGGUGGCUUUCUCUUCGGAGAGAGUGUUUAUAGCCUUUGAUCUCUGCAAUCGGAGAGACUGAGGUCUGCAGCGUAGAUCCUUCGGGGUUAGAUACAUUCGUGCUAAGCUACAGCUUUUCAUAGACAACUUGUUGACUAUGUUUAGUCUUGUAACUUACCCGCUUAUGCUAUUUUACCUACGCUUAGGAUGUUGAUAUGCAUGACUGAUAU
rnacentral:rRNA from 1 species